UAGCCAUGGGCAGGUUGAAGGUUGGGUAACACUAACUGGAGGACCGAACCGACUAAUGUUGAAAAAUUAGCGGAUGACUUGUGGCUGGGGGUGAAAGGCCAAUCAAACCGGGAGAUAGCUGGUUCUCCCCGAAAGCUAUUUAGGUAGCGCCUCGUGAAUUCAUCUCCGGGGGUAGAGCACUGUUUCGGCAAGGGGGUCAUCCCGACUUACCAACCCGAUGCAAACUGCGAAUACCGGAGAAUGUUAUCACGGGAGACACACGGCGGGUGCUAACGUCCGUCGUGAAGAGGGAAACAACCCAGACCGCCAGCUAAGGUCCCAAAGUCAUGGUUAAGUGGGAAACGAUGUGGGAAGGCCCAGACAGCCAGGAUGUUGGCUUAGAAGCAGCCAUCAUUUAAAGAAAGCGUAAUAGCUCACUGGUCGAGUCGGCCUGCGCGGAAGAUGUAACGGGGCUAAACCAUGCACCGAAGCUGCGGCAGCGACGCUGAUGCGUUGUUGGGUA
rnacentral:rRNA from 1 species